AGAGGGCAGAGAAAGAAGAAAAGAAAGCAGGACAAUUAAAAAAGAAUGCUGGGGAAAAGGAGGAACAACAGAGAGCUGUUAGAGUGAAAGGAGGAGAAUUAUAAGAUAGAUCUGUUCAGGAACUGAAGAAAUUCAGGAUCUAAUGCAAGUUGAAGAAUUUUCUCAGAAACUGAUCAAACUGAUGGGGCAACGGCUAUGUGAUCUCCCAAAAGAAGAAGAAAAACUUUACUUUCUGGAAAAAAAGAAACCUUCUAGAAGGGGAAAUUUUGAUUUCCCUCCUGAAAAGAAAUACUCAGCUGACCAUACAUGUCUCCUCCUUUGUGAGGGAAGUUUAUAUAUUCUGACUUUCUUGCAUAAUGUAUACGAACCAGCUAUUUUCUCAUUUCUGAGUCUUAGACUUUAUGUACUGGGUAUGCCCUUUUGACUCUGGUGUUUAUAAUGUACAGU